ACAGGCUGGGCAGCUGGUCGAGCAGGCUCGGAAGCUUUCAGCUGGGGUGCUGGCCGACUCGGCUCCACUGCUUUCGGCUGCGGAGCUGGCCUAAUCGGCUCAGUUGCUACAGGCUGUGGUGUAGGACGAAUAGUCUCAGUUGUUUUAGGUUGAGGUACCGGCUGCGGCACAGAACGACUCGGCUCAGUGAUUUUAUGCAGAGGGAUCGGCCGAAUCGGCUCAGUCAUUUUGUGCGGAGUUUCUAAGCGAGUUGACCGAGUUGACUCUGAUUGAGCCACGUCAUCCUCGUCCACUACUACUCUACCAUCCCUGCUCAUUCUAGGGCUUCUCUUCACAUUUCCUUGCGACGAUUGCCCCUGUGAAAACUCUUGACCAGGCAUGCCAAGUUGGCCGAGUGGCCCCAGUUGCCCAAGCUGUCCGAGCUGACUCACCUGCAACUCGUGAUCGUACAUUGCCUUCUUCGAGGGGUUGGAGAACACCAUCCAAGCCUCAGAAACGAGCCUAAAAGCAUGAUCUGCAAAAGAAAGCCUAUUCCUGGUAGGAUUCAACAACAAAGCAAGCUUACGGUACUGACUCGCGACAAGUUCCAUGGACUGAGACAAUCUCGGGAGUUGAAGGAUCGCGUAAUAGUCAUGGCUACCACCGCCGUUGUAGUUAAUGAUUCUCAACUCUCCGGCCAGGAGCGUAUCAGCGAUGGCGAUAAUUUGAUCGGAGAACUCUAGGAGCCUCGGGUCAGACUCUCGGGCUCGAAUCGCGAAGGACUUGGCGCCCUGGAAAUCGCGCGCCGUGAGAAGCUUCUCGGCUAUGGUGAGCCACCGCUCCGCUUCUAUUCUGUAGCCACUACCGUCCAUUUUCAUUUUCCCCUUUCUCUCUCUACACUUUUUUUCUUAAUUUUUAUUUUUUAGGUCAAGGGAAGAAGAGAGACAAAAGGAAGAGGAACUUUCUGAGUGGACGAAAAAGGACUGUACUUCUCUAGAAAUGAUGACAAUUUUCAAGCUUCGGGUAAGGUAUCAGGCAUUUUAGAACGAGGGCGUUUUAGUCAUUUGGUGAUAUCCAGUUCUGGUAAUCGGAGACGUCCCUUCUGUUUUGAGCGGACGAAAGAGGACAAUGAAGAAGAGGAAGUGAAAGGUGAGGAAGAGAGACAGUGUGAGGGUAAUAUGGUCAUUUAGGGGGACGGAGCGGAGGGGUCGAGCUUAUGGUUUUCCUAACGUUUUUUUUUCUUCUGGUUGGG
rnacentral:misc_RNA from 1 species